rnacentral:rRNA from 1 species
CGGGUGAGUAACACGUGGAUAACCUACCUAUAAGACUGGGAUAACUUCGGGAAACCGGAGCUAAUACCGGAUAAUAUUUUGAACCGCAUGGUUCAAAAGUGAAAGACGGUCUUGCUGUCACUUAUAGAUGGAUCCGCGCUGCAUUAGCUAGUUGGUAAGGUAACGGCUUACCAAGGCAACGAUGCAUAGCCGACCUGAGAGGGUGAUAGGCCACACUGGAACUGAGACACGGUCCAG